AGUGGGCGGGGGUGCUUAACACAUGCAGUCGAACGAUGAAGCCCAGCUUGCUGGGUGGAUUAGUGGCGAACGGGUGAGUAACACGUGGGUGAUCUGCCCUGCACUCUGGGAUAAGCCUGGGAAACUGGGUCUAAUACCGGAUAUGACCUCUUGAUGCAUGUUCUGGGGUGGAAAGUUUUUCGGUGCAGGAUGAGCCCGCGGCCUAUCAGCUUGUUGGUGGGGUAAUGGCCUACCAAGGCGACGACGGGCA
rnacentral:rRNA from 1 species